AUAAGCAACGUGCCCUAAAGACUGGGAUAGCCAGGGGAAACCCUGAGUAAUACCGGAUGUGGCAACGAGAUGGCAUCUUCUCGUUACUAAAUGGUUUUUCGCUUUAGGAGCGGCUUAUGGCCUAUCAGCUAGUUGGGGAGGUAACGGCUCACCAAGGCGACGACGGGUAGGGGGUCUGAGAGGAUGAUCCCCCCGAGUGGGACUGAGACACGGCC
rnacentral:rRNA from 1 species